GUUAGCGUGGAGAUCCUCGCUCACACUCACUCACUGUUGUGUCGUGUCCCAUCCCACUGCUGCCACCCAAGCUAAUUGUGGAGCCAGUGAUAAUGCCGUCCGCUGCCGCCGUCGACCCCCAGAGCGGCUACUGCGCCGUCACGAGGACCUUCCACAGCCUCCGCGCGCCCAUCCCGCUGCCGCCCCCAUCCCCGCCGCUCUCCUUCCCGGCCUUCGCCUUCUCCCUCCUCCCCUCCCCGCUCCCCGCCCACGCCGCCUUCCUCGAUGCCGCCACCGGCGAGGCCGUCCCCUUCCCGGCCUUCCUCGGGCAGGUCCGCGCCCUCGCCACGGCCCUCCGCGCCCAGCUCCACAUCUCCCGCGGCGACGUGGCCUUCGUCCUCGCGCCCCCCAGCCUCCACAUCCCCGUGCUCUACUUCGCGCUCAUGGCCGUCGGCGCCGUCGUCUCCCCCGCCAAUCCGGCCCUGACCACAGGGGAACUGGCCCACCUUGCCGCGCUCUCGAAACCCUCCGUCGCCUUCGCCGUCUCGAGCGCGGCCGGCAAGCUCCCACCCGGGCUCAGCGCCGUCCUCCUCGACUCGCCGAGAUUCCUCUCGUUCUUGCACGGACCCGGCGAUGCCUUGGCCAUGGACGCCGCUGUGAUUUACCAGUCUGAUCCGGCGGCGAUACUGUACUCCUCCGGCACCACCGGGAGCGCCAAAGCGGUGGUGCUGACGCACCGCAACCUCAUGACGACACGCGUCUUGCCUGGUCCGGCGCCGCCAGACGAGGUUCUGAUGCUGACCGUGCCGCUCUUCCACGUCUACGGAUUCGUGUUCUGCCUCAGGCCUGUAAUGGCGGCGCAAACACUUGUGUUGCACACGGCGAGGAGGUUUGACACCAGGGCGGUGCUGGCAGCGGUGGGGAGGUUCCGGGUGACGCGGCUAGCCCUUGCGCCGCCGGCGCUGUUGGCGAUUGUGCGAGCAGCUGAGGACGACAAGAGUGUGGCUGCCAGCGCAGCAACGCUGCAGGUGGUGCUCUGCGGCGGCGCAGCCCUCUCACCAGAGCUUAUACGGCGGUUCUCGCAUAAAUUUCCCCACGUCUUUGUUUCACAGGGAUAUGGACUGACCGAGACUACAGCUGGUUUUUGCCGUUCCAUUGGAGUAGAAGAAAGUCGACGAAUUGGAUCAGUUGGGCGUCUCUCACCGGGCGCUGAGGCGAAGAUUAUUGAUCCUGGAACAGGGGAUGCUCUGCCUCCCGGUGUGCCAGGCGAGCUUUGGGUCCGAGGACCUUUUGUAAUGGAAGGUUACCUUGGUGACAAGGAAUCCACCUCUGAGAUCUUGGAUUCUGAAGGGUGGUUGAGAACCGGGGAUGUUUGUCUCAUCGACAAAGAUGGAUUCCUCUCUGUGGUUGAUCGGCUGAAAGAGAUAAUUAAGUACAAAGGCUACCAGAACUGGAGGACCUGCUUCAAACGCACCCAGGUAUCGACGAAGCCGCAGUUGUUGGAUACACAGACGAUCAGACUGGCGAGUUGCCAGUGGCAUUUGUCGUAGGACGCUCCGGAAGCAACUUGCAUGAGGCACACAUCAAAGACUUUGUCGCUAAACAGCUUGUGUACAUGUACGUCCGGCUAGAGGCGGACGUAUCGAUGGGCUAGCUAUCGAUUUGUGCAUCACAUGCGUUGAUGGCCAGAAGUUGGACACAAGAGAGACCAAGAAGCGAGCGCUUUCUCGGUUUUAGAAAAAAGAGGUCAGGGCCUCUUUUUUAUAUACAACAAAAAUACCACAGUUUUAGAGAUAUCAUGGUUUGUUGAACUGCAGUAUUUUUUUCAUCCAAACGACUCAACGUAUUGAAUAUCAAAGUUUUUUCAGAAACCACAGUAUUCCUAAAAAACCACAAAAAUACUUUGGCUUCCAAACGCACCUAGUGUUUUCUUUGCUCGGUUCGUUAGAUCACGGCUGAAGGACGUGGUCUGGGCGUUCCCAGCGGCUUUGUAGGCGACUAGCACUAGCUCGGAUCGUGGAUCGUGGGAUGGCACGGCCGGCAGUGGAGUGAGGGCUACGUCAUGAUUUCCUUCUAUGAAGAAAUAAGAAGAGAAGAAACAGAAAACUUGCACACUUUUUAGACAGCCCAAAAUCUUCAUAGUCAUCGUCUUCCUCUCGCUUUCUCUCCCGCUAGUAGCUUGGCUGACAAUUAUCAGGCAUGUUUUUCUUAUCGUGAAAGAGUCCUGCAUAGAGCAGGAUUCGAAAUGAGCGAGCCAUUGGUGUCCGGGUCGGGCGACCGCGAGGGCGUCGCGCUUUCGUCGCAGGGCACGGCAACGCAGGACGGCUGGGAGCUGGUCCGGCAGGGAGCGGGGGGCUCGCCGGGGCGCGCCUCCUGCCCCCUCC